UACGUAGGUGACAAGCGUUGUCCGGAUUUACUGGGCGUAAAGAGCGCGCAGGCGGUCGUUCAAGUCGAGUGUGAAAGCCCCCCGGCUCAACUGGGGAGGGUCAUUCGAUACUGAUCGACUCGAAGGCAGGAGAGGGAAGUGGAAUUCCCGGUGUAGUGGUGAAAUGCGUAGAUAUCGGGAGGAAGGCCGGUGGCGAAGGCGGCGCUCUGGAACAUUUCUGACGCUGAGGCUCGAAAGCGUGGGGAGCAAACAGG
rnacentral:rRNA from 1 species